rnacentral:tRNA from 1 species
CACAGUGUAGCUUAACAAUUAAAGCAUCUGGCCUACACCCAGAAGACUCCACAACAAUGGACACUUUGA